UACGGAGGGUGCAAGCGUUAAUCGGAAUUACUGGGCGUAAAGCGCACGUAGGUGGUUUGUUAAGUCAGCUGUGAAAUCCCCGGGCUCAACCUGGGCACUGCAGUUGAAACUGGCAAGCUAGAGUAGGGUAGAGGGGUGUGGAAUUCCAGGUGUAGCGGUGAAAUGCGUAGAUAUCAGGAGGAACACCGGUGGCGAAGGCGGCGCUCUGGGCCGGUACUGACACUGAGGAGCGAAAGCCAGGGGAGCAAACGGG
rnacentral:rRNA from 1 species